rnacentral:tRNA from 1 species
AAUAAAGUAAGCUAAAUAAAGCUAGUGGGUUCAUACCCCAAAUAUGAAUUCAAAAUUCCUUUAUUA